CGGAGUUCAUCAUCUCCUCCUCUUCAGAACCGUCGAUUCGAAGUAUCCUUCCUUUGAAAAACAAGUCAUCCGACGGUGAGAUAAUAAGGCACGGCGAAUUCGAGGUCAAAGAAAGGACCGUCUUCGGCGUCGGAGUCGUGGUCGGAGUUUUGAGUUACGGCGGAGAUAAUGGUGGUUGCCGCGGAGGAGGAAGAAGAAGAGUUGUGAGAUGAAGGUAGAGAUAUAAGAGGUGGGCCACCACUACCAGCAGCGGAUUUCCAGUACUUGAGUAAGCUAAAAGCUUCCAUGGUUGGGAGAGCCAGACUAAUCACAGGCGACACAUCUUCUCCUCUAAAUACAAGGGGAACCUCAACCUUCAGUAAAGCAUCAGGAGGAGCUCUAAUGAAAGUGACAUUAAGAAUAGCUUCAGUGGCUGCAUGCAUGUGGAGCUGCUCAGCACAGAGGAAAACAUUUCAAAGGCCUCCAACUAGAACAUCUAUAUAGUACACAAAACUUUUAGAAUGAACCAACAAAGUGAGUUAUUCGCGAUUAUUUAGAAUACGAAUACGGAGUAUAUUUCAGCAACAAAUUUAGAUAAA